ACCUGCCCUUUCUCACUGGUCAACCUUUUAUUUCAAGUUGACUAACCAGAGUCAGAUGGCUUCCUAGGCUUUACUUACAUAGCAGCCACACCCUUCUCUGUAAUGUAAUGGAAAAGUGUGUCUGGUCCCGAGCUUACAGUACUCUGUCACCGUGGGAAAACUGUAUGCAUGCAUUCUGUAGAAGAUGCACGUUGAUUAGUGAGUUUUGAACUUUUCCAGGGCAAAGAUCUGAUGCUCUUAGAGUAUGGGCUAAGGACAAUGAGCCUUGACUCAGCCCCAGUGACCAAGCAGGGAGGUGACUCAUGGACUGUUCAGUAUACAGGGUGUUGAGUGUGCUCAUUUUCAACUCAUGAAGGAUUUAUUAGUGUGUAACCUUACUGGCCAAGCAGCAGCAUUAACGGAAAAGGAGCAGGACCUUCAUCUAAUGGAAUAAUAACAGCGAGUGCUUAUUAGGGUUAACUCCUGCCACACAGUAUACAAAGAAAUAUUUUAACCAUUGUUCCUACGUGAGCUUGUCAUUUUAUUGUUACCUGCUUUAGGAAUGACUAAGAGUUAGAGUGGCUGAGCAGUUCAUUCACAGUAACUGGUCAGUUUGGCUCUAGACUAUACCUCUGGGUUGUUAUGCCAUGCUGUUUCCUUACUAAAUAUGACUUAGUAUAAUUGUGAAUAUUACCUAUUAGUGUGUCAGUACUAUGUGAAGAAUGAUCCUUCUGCUGCAGACACAUUUUUAUUAAGAAGUUUAUGUUUUAAUGACUUCGGUUAUUUCAACAUAAUAGUAUAUGAAAGUUUUUUUUUAAAGCUUCUAUAUUUUCUUUUGAACAGUUUUUUUUUCUAUAUUUGAAUGAAGUCUGGAAUUUAGUAGUCAACAAAGUUUUGCUUAUGUUCUGAUUCACAAUAAUACAUUUAUACCAUCACCCAGUACAUAAAACUCAUUAGUUCUUCUAUAGGAAAUCCUUCUACUUGCAAUUCAUUAUUUUCUGUCCUCCCGUGUUUUUUCUUGUAUUUAUUCUAUUUCAUUAUACCAGUAUUAUUAGUAAACUGCAAUAAUCCACUAGUAGUUAACCAGCAGUUUGAAAAAUCACCACAAACCAGUGCUGUCUGGUGGGGCUCACACUAGCCAGUGAAGCCUGUGUUCGUUCCCCUCUGCCCCUGCCGGCCUCAGGCACAUUCUCUUCUAAUUUUGUUAGUUCUGCCAGCAGGCCUUGUGAGCAAUUGGAUUCUGAGGUUGGAUUAAUGUUUUCCCCAAGGCUGUGAGAUUUUUCUCCUUGGCCAUUUCAUCAUGGUCCUUUGGGGGUCUGUGGGAGUCAAUGACAUGACUGUCCUUAGAACUUCUGCCUUCCCAGAAGUUCCCACUCUGAAGCUCCUCUGUAGCAGGGAGGUUCGUUAUAACAACUGUAGAAAAACUGUCUCUUUCCAGUUAUCUCUUUUCUGUUUUGUUCUUAUGUUGCUGGACAUAGUACAUAAAUACACCUUAGCAUUAAUGAAGAUGAAGAAUUGUCUCAUUAUGUCCUGUUUCCCAGGCAGACCUUACCACAAGCCGUGAGGAUAUUUCUCUACUUGUCUUUACCUAGAAUAAGCUGAUAGCAAAGACAAGAUAAUCUAACACUAUCUCAGUUUGAGGUAUCCCUAUCACCUAGUUCAUUCCUGAGUGUGCAGAAACAUGUUGAGUGUCUUCUGUGCUGGGUCUUUCAGGCUCCAGGAUUAUCAAGGUAAAUGAGAUACAUGGGUUUCUAUUCUUUUGUCAUAUAGUCUACUGGAAAAGAUAGACAGGAAAACAGAUAGACAUAUGGAUAGGCACUAAGCAUUAGAAUGUGGAGAUAUAUGAAGAUAGUUGGAUCUGGUGAACAAGUUGUGGGCUGUUCUUUCUCUACUUAUUCACAACCCACCACAUGGAUUGUUAACUCUAUACCACACCAGGUCCUCCAAAGAAAUUCCAGAACUGUGAAACCAUCUUUAUGUGUAAAAACCAUGCACUAUAGCAGAGGAGGUGUCAUCACCUGCUUGCUUAUUAGAAAUAGUCCCUUUAGCUCAGGUUGGACCUAUUAAACCAGAGUAUGCAUUGGGACACAGUUUUUAUGAGACCUUAUAUGAAGUUAAGAGUUUGAAGUGCAGACGGAAUAUUUCUUAUUUGAAAAGCUGGGGACUAGGACUGCUUCAGAUGUUAAGAAUUUUGGAUUUUGGAAUAUUUUUGUAGAUU
rnacentral:lncRNA from 1 species